UACGAAGGGGGCUAGCGUUGCUCGGAAUCACUGGGCGUAAAGCGCACGUAGGCGGAUUGCUAAGUCAGGGGUGAAAUCCUGGAGCUCAACUCCAGAACUGCCUUUGAUACUGAGAGUCUUGAGUCCGGGAGAGGUGAGUGGAACUGCGAGUGUAGAGGUGAAAUUCGUAGAUAUUCGCAAGAACACCAGUGGCGAAGGCGGCUCACUGGCCCGGUACUGACGCUGAGGUGCGAAAGCGUGGGGAGCAAACAGG
rnacentral:rRNA from 1 species